rnacentral:lncRNA from 1 species
GUUCUGUCUAUAAUGUUGUCAUUUUAGUGUUAUAUUUAACAUUGCCAUUAAAGCGCGAGGUUUGGCUAACCCAAAAACAAGGCUCAACCCACCAAUAUUUCUUAAAAUGUCCUGUACUAAGUCAGGAAAAUGCGAGUAAUUGUUGUUAUCUUAUACUAGUAGUUCAUUUCUCUGUGUGUUGCAUUGUAUUUUGUGUUUUGUUGCACUUCAGUGUUCCUGUUGUUUCGUUGUUUUCCUCUUAUAGUUGAUUUGUUUCCCUUGGUUUUAGUUUGUUACCCAGAUUUGUUUUCUCUCAAUCGAUUCAAGUUAUGAAUUUCGACCAGCGGUAAACUACUGUUGUCUUUAUAUAUGGCUUUUUCAAUAUCCCAUACAUGCAGUGUGUGAUAUUGAAAAAAAGCCAUAUCAAAUAAACUUUAUUAUGUACCCCAAGUAGUAUUUUAUGUGACAUGAUGUUAUACAGAUUCGGGGUUUGAUCAUGGAUGAAAGCAUUUGCAACAGUGAUGAUAUCGAUAACCUCACGGACGGCUGAUACAGCACGAUUGCCGUUACUGUAUUUACAACUAAUUUUAUGAUAAUGCUGAUUAUCGCUAUUUUAGGAAAUUUUCCAUUGAUCUUGCUGACUGAUAAUUUCCUUUCUCAGGCGGAGUCGAGUGAUAUAAAAAAUCAUUGUUAGAAACUAUGGGGGCACUUGGCAGUGUCAUUGAAAUUGACAUGAAAUUGACAACGUCGUCAUAGCUAAAAUAGCGACAAACAUAUUAUAGUUGGUCAUCUCAAGUCGAUUGCAUUUCAUUGCCGUACCGACUCAAGCGAGAAAAUCAAUCUCGUUGAGAUGAUCCGACUUCAAUAUUAUAUUAAUUGAGUACAAUAGAACCAUCUCUACGUGCUUUUUGUAAACUACCAAGGAAAAGAUGAACAAUUUUAGA